rnacentral:rRNA from 1 species
GGUGUGACCUGCCCAAUGGUUUUAAAUUUAAAACAAAUAAUUAUUGUUAAAUAAAACUAAAAGGACGCGGUAACCUUGACCGUGAUAAUGUAGCAUAAUCACUCGCCAUUUAAUUGAUGGAUAGUAUGAAUGGUUAAACGAAUUUUCCACUGUCUUAAAAAGAGAUUAAAAAAAAUUAAAAUAAUAGUUAAGAUGCUAUUUAAAAUUGUAAGACGAAAAGACCCUAUAGAGCUUAACUACAAUCUUUUUAAAAUAAAAAAGGUAGGUAGUUUAAUUGGGGCGAUUAUCUUCUAAAAUAAACGAAGACGAAUAAAUUAAUAAAAUAAUAAUUGUGUAAUUAAUAAAUUUAACAAAUACAAAAGUAGAUUAUAGUGACCCGUUAUUAAUUAAUAAAAAAUAAUAACGAUCAACAAAUAAAAGCUACCUUAGGGAUAACAGGAUAAUUUCAUUUUAGAGAUCUUAUCGAAAAUGAAGUUUGUCACCUCUAUGUUGAAUUAAGACAUCCUGAUAAUGCAGAAGUAUCAAAGGGUGGUCUGUCGACCCUUAAAG